rnacentral:piRNA from 1 species
UGGUGUCCUUGCGGUGGUAGCCCUUUAU